rfam:Triticum aestivum genome assembly, contig: Triticum_aestivum_CS42_TGACv1_scaffold_643515_T_2DL-0.227871_2DS-0.124498
CUCGUACUCCCUCCUUCCGAAAAGACUUGUCCCAAACUUGUCCCUCAAAGGGAUGUAUCUAGCACUAAAUUGGUGUUAGAUACAUCCAUUUGAGGGACAAGCUUUUUCGAACGGAGGGAGUAGAUG